CCCGCUGAACUUAAGCAUAUCAAUAAGCGGAGGAAAAGAAACUAACAAGGAUUCCCUUAGUAACUGCGAGUGAAGUGGGAAAAGCUCAAAUUUAGAAUCUGGCAGUCACUUGGCUGUCCGAGUUGUAAUCUAGAGAAGUGUUGCCCGUGCUGGACCAUGUACAAGUCUCCUGGAAUGGAGCAUCACAGAGGGUGAGAAUCCUGUCUUUGACAUGGACUGCCAGUGCUUUUGUGGUAUGCUCUCAAAGAGUCGAGUUGUUUGGGAAUGCAGCUCAAAAUGGGUGGUAAAUGCCAUCUAAAGCUAAAUAUUGGCGAGAGACCGAUAGUGAACAAGUACCGUGAGGGAAAGAUGAAAAGAACUUUGGAAAGAGAGUUAAACAGUACGUGAAAUUGCUGAAAGGGAAACGCUUGAAGUCAGUCACGUUGACUUGGAAUCAGCUCUGCUUUUGCUGGGUGUACUUUCUUGUCAAUGGGUCAGCAUCAAUUUUGACCAUUGGAUAAAGUUGCUGGGAAUGUAGCAUCCUUUUGGAUGUGUUAUAGUCUCUCGUCGCAUGCAAGGGUCAGGAUUGAGGAACUCAGCAUGCACCUUCGGGUGUCGGGGCUUUUGUCCACGAUACAUGCUUAGGAUGUUGGCGUAAUGGCUUUAAACGACCCGUCUUGAAACACGG
rnacentral:rRNA from 1 species